rnacentral:rRNA from 1 species
AACGAACGCUGGCGGCAGGCCUAACACAUGCAAGUCGAGCGCACCCUUCGGGGUGAGCGGCGGACGGGUUAGUAACGCGUGGGAACGUACCCUUCGGUAAGGAAUAGCCACUGGAAACGGUGAGUAAUACCUUAUACGCCCUUCGGGGGAAAGAUUUAUCGCCGAUGGAUCGGCCCGCGUUAGAUUAGAUAGUUGGUGGGGUAAUGGCCUACCAAGUCUACGAUCUAUAGCUGGUUUUAGAGGAUGAUCAGCAACACUGGGACUGAGACACGGCCCAG